CCCGCACAAGCGGUGGAGCAUGUGGUUUAAUUCGACGCAACGCGAAGAACCUUACCAGGGUUUGACAUCCCUGACAGACUAUGAAAGUAGGACUUUUGCCUUCGGGCAGACAGGGAGACAGGUGGUGCAUGGUUGUCGUCAGCUCGUGUCGUGAGAUGUUGGGUUAAGUCCCGCAACGAGCGCAACCCUUACCCUUAGUUGCCAGCGGGUAAUGCCGGGCACUCUAAGGGGACCGCCCCGGAUAACGGGGAGGAAGGCGGGGAUGACGUCAAGUCAGCAUGGCCCUUAUGUCCAGGGCUACACACGUGCUACAAUGGGCGAUACAGAGGGAAGCAAGGCCGCAAGGUAGAGCUAAUCCCUAAAGUCGUCCUCAGUUCGGAUUGCAGGCUGCAACUCGCCUGCAUGAAGUCGGAAUCGCUAGUAAUCGCGGAUCAGCUACGCCGCGGUGAAUACGUUCUCGGGCCUU
rnacentral:rRNA from 1 species